UACGGCCAUCUCCCAUUGAAACACUGGUUCUCGCCCGAUCACCGAAGUUAAGCAACGUUGAUCCUGGUCAAUAUCUGGAUGUGUGUCCGCUCGGGAAUGCUAGGUGCUGUAAG